rnacentral:pre_miRNA from 1 species
UCAAAUCGUCGCCCCGGCGGAGGCCGGGGCCGCUGGAGGCAGAUCGCGACGUCGCCCCAAGCGCGUGGCGGCCCCGGCCUCCGCCGGGGCGACGGCAAAA